UUCGAAUGUUUGUACCAUAUUGUGAGUAUUGAAUUUUUCAUAAAAAUGACAUUGAAAACUUUGAAACGUAGUUGGCUAAAACGAUACAUAUUCUUGGAAACUUUAUUUUUUUACAAUAUUAUACGUUAUCAAACACACCCAGUUCCUAAUAACAAGUAAUCCAUUGCAUAUCAACCGAUCAUUCUGGGCCGUAACAAUGGUUUUGAAAGAAUUGUUUCUCUUGCUGUUUGUCAAUUGUCUUCAUUCUAUUAUAGAAAGUGCAGAUUGUUCUACUCAAGCGUGCUUAACUCGGUUGUACAAUUAAAAGUACUAAGCGCUGAAUACUUUACCAGGUAUGUUUUUUAUAUUCAUUUGUUUUUUAUUGUAGAAUUAAAAUAUGAUAAAGACAACAGUAUUUUAUUACUGAAUCAGUAAUAUUUGAGCAACCUUAUACAAAAUCAAAAUUUAAUUUUGUUACAGACUUAUCAACUUGAAUUGUUUCUGUUUCGAAAGAGCUUUGUUCAUAUUUCAGUAUGUGCUAUGUUGCUUUUUAUAACACACAGUCCAAGUAUUAAACAUUAUAGUUGUUAAAGUUAUUUCGCAUUAAACCCAAGUAUAACUAAAAUGAACGACUGUUGUUUGAUUUUUUGAACCACACGUUUAGUGAUAUCUAUAAGCCUUCGUCACAAAAGAGUGACGAAAUAUACAAAAGGGACAUUCAAACGUAUUAGUCGAAAAUAAACUGGCCAUGGCUUAAGAAAGCAACCCAAAAAACAAAACAACAGUUCACGAAACACAACAUAGAAAUAGAGACAACUGAAAGACAGAGCAACACAAAAUCCACCAGACACUUGAGUGAUAUCAGGUGCUCCGGAAUGGUAAGCAGAUCAAACUCCACAUGUGACACCUGUAUAUAAUAUAUGAUUUAUUCAACAUUAACCAAACAUUAUUCGCUGUUCGGUGUGAGUCAGGGGUCCGUGUUGAAGACCGCACUUUGACCUAUAAUGAUUUACCUUUACAAAUUGUUACUUUGAUGUGACUAAUGUAACCUCUCUCACUUGUUUUGUACAUAUUGUAAAUAUCUAUUGUUUGUAUUUGUUAUAUCUGUACCGAUGUAAUGCAUUGGCUUUAUGGGAAUAAAGAUAUAUAGGAUGGAUAGUUGUAUCAUUGGCACUAUACCACAUCUUCGUAUAUCUAAUUAAUCAAACAAUCACUUAAUCUGAGUUCAAAUAUUCAUGUUAAUUCAGAGUAAUUAUAGCUUAUGUUUGUGUUUACUGUAGACCACUUGGUUCCAGUUCUUCGGGUUCGUCUAAACCGUCAUCUGGCUCUUCUAGUGGAGGGUGGUUUUGGCGCCGACGGUCUUCGUAUAUAUCUAGCAGGUGGUUUGGGAAGAGAGACUGGGAUUAUCAUCUCCAUCAUGCAGGUGUAGUAGUCACCAUCGAUCGAUAUGUUGUUGGAAGAAAUCGUUGGCUAAUACAUAAAGGAAGUAACUAUGGCGAUAAAUGGGACACCGUUAUCACAGACGCACAAAAUAUGGACAGCAGGCGAGUGCUAUUAAAUCAAAUUUUAAACCUGAUUCCUUUAAAAACUAUUUAUUAUAGACAUUGUGUAUAAACCGGAUACCUAUUUUUUUUUAGUAGGAGAUUUAUGCUUUUUUUUGCAUGCUGUCUCAUAGUCAAAUGAAAUGUUGCAGAUAAAAAUAGUGCUGAACUCAAUACAAAUAACUGACUAUAAUUUUCCAUACAAAAAGUAAUUAAAAAAUACACAUUAAUUACAAAAGAGACAUUGUAUGAACGUCAAUGAGAAAGCAUCCCAUCCACUCAAUAUAACUAGAAGAGAAUAAAAGAGAAAAUGGAAACGGGGAAUGUGUCAAAGAAACAACAACCCGACCAAGGAGUAGAAAUCAGCCCAAUACCACUUAUGGGUCUUCAACACAGCAAGAAAUUCUGUACCCUGAUGCGGGAAUCACAUUUUAUCUUACCUCCUAUACAUUUCUAAGAAUAUGAUUGGUUAAAAGCGCCCUCGUGGAGACCGUGUAUAUUUCGUAUUAGGUUAGAAGGGAGGCGGGGCUUAUUUCAUACACGAUUAGUAGUGGUGUAACGUCCCUUUAUAAAAACAAAACGGUACUGAGAAAAAAUCUUUAAAGUUUCAACAGACCAAGAAAUUGAUGAUUAAGAUUGAAAUAAAUUCAUAAAACACAUUUAAAUCUAACAAUAUACCUAAGUCAUCGUCACUAUUUAUAAAUUUUAGAAUUGUAUCGAUUUUCGAUUUACAAAAAUAUGAGGCUAACUCUUCAAUAGAUUUACCAGUAUUUAUUUUUUUAGAGUGUUUUGCGUUUCAAAAUUAAUUAGAAUUUUAGACAAUCUCUUUCUACUUUUGUUAAUUCAUUAUUAAUGUUUUGACAGAACGUGGACUCGAAACAAAUCAAGAGGUGUUGGCGAUUGUAAAAAGAUAGUGAAUGACUUCCUCAGGGCAGCAAGAAUACAAUCUGAUUACAGGUUGACAGGUCCAAACUGUCAAACAGCAGCAAACGGAAUGUGGAAUAUGAUUGAAAGAUACUGUUAAAAACUGAAAUUAACAUAAAUUAAAUCAGUACUGCAAGAUAACUGUCUUUUAUUUUCAUAGAAUGCUCUUGUUUUUUUUAAUGUUAAACAAGUUGAAAGGGAUUUAAAACCGAAACUUCCUAUCAGAAAUGUAUGCCUGGGUGUAUUAAAACUAUAACUUUUCAACAUUGAUAACUCGUAUUCUUAUUCUUUAUUGUUAUAAGUGGUUACGACAUAGAUAUAGUUCGAUAACGGUCAACCAAAUCACAAUGGAUUCCUUUUUUAUUCUUCUCUUAUUUGUUAAUAUGCUUUGCUUAUAUGCAUUUUUCAAACGAAUGACGUGACACUGUACUUAUACAACCUGUCAUUGUACUAGUUUUUUUGUUGUAUUCUUGUAUUUCAUUUUUGCUAAUGUGCUGUGUCUAUAUUCCAUGUUGUGUUUCUUUGAUACAUAUGACAUAGCUCUGUACUUUUACAUCCCGUCAUUGUGUUAUUGUGCUAUUAUACAUUUUUCAUUCUUGUCUUUCAUUUUUGCCAAUGUGAUUUGUCUAUAUGCCAUGUUGAGCUUCUUUGUUACAUAUUUGUUUGUUUUUAUAGUGAUUAGGAUUAUAACACAAAAUUGACGGAUGUAACCCUAUUUGUGACAUUUUUUACUAUUAUGUCUGGUGUUUUUUCACACAUCGUUGUCAAUAUAAUGAAAUUUGAUGUGACUGUCAUACAAGUGAGAGGUUAGCUAGUUUUAAAACCAGGUUUAAUCCA
rnacentral:lncRNA from 1 species